rnacentral:rRNA from 1 species
UGCAGUCGAGCGAAUCGAUGGGAGCUUGCUCCCUGAGAUUAGCGGCGGACGGGUGAGUAACACGUGGGCAACCUGCCUAUAAGACUGGGAUAACUUCGGGAAACCGGAGCUAAUACCGGAUACGUUCUUUUCUCGCAUGAGAGAAGAUGGAAAGACGGUUUACGCUGUCACUUAUAGAUGGGCCCGCGGCGCAUUAGCUAGUUGGUGAGGUAAUGGCUCACCAAGGCGACGAUGCG